rnacentral:siRNA from 1 species
AGAGUGCAGCGUGCUUCUACUCCC